rnacentral:rRNA from 1 species
GGUUAAGCGACUAAGCGUACACGGUGGAUGCCCUGGCAGUCAGAGGCGAUGAAGGACGUGCUAAUCUGCGAUAAGCGUCGGUAAGGUGAUAUGAACCGUUAUAACCGGCGAUUUCCGAAUGGGGAAACCCAGUGUGAUUCGUCACACUAUCAUUAACUGAAUCCAUAGGUUAAUGAGGCGAACCGGGGGAACUGAAACAUCUAAGUACCCCGAGGAAAAGAAAUCAACCGAGAUUCCCCCAGUAGCGGCGAGCGAACGGGGAGGAGCCCAGAGCCUGAAUCAGUGUGUGUGUUAGUGGAAGCGUCUGGAAAGGCGCGCGAUACAGGGUGACAGCCCCGUACACAAAAAUGCACAUGCUGUGAGCUCGAUGAGUAGGGCGGGACACGUGGUAUCCUGUCUGAAUAUGGGGGGACCAUCCUCCAAGGCUAAAUACUCCUGACUGACCGAUAGUGAACCAGUACCGUGAGGGAAAGGCGAAAAGAACCCCGGCGAGGGGAGUGAAAAAGAACCUGAAACCGUGUACGUACAAGCAGUGGGAGCACGCUUAGGCGUGUGACUGCGUACCUUUUGUAUAAUGGGUCAGCGACUUAUAUUCUGUAGCAAGGUUAACCGAAUAGGGGAGCCGAAGGGAAACCGAGUCUUAACUGGGCGUUAAGUUGCAGGGUAUAGACCCGAAACCCGGUGAUCUAGCCAUGGGCAGGUUGAAGGUUGGGUAACACUAACUGGAGGACCGAACCGACUAAUGUUGAAAAAUUAGCGGAUGACUUGUGGCUGGGGGUGAAAGGCCAAUCAAACCGGGAGAUAGCUGGUUCUCCCCGAAAGCUAUUUAGGUAGCGCCUCGUGAAUUCAUCUCCGGGGGUAGAGCACUGUUUCGGCAAGGGGGUCAUCCCGACUUACCAACCCGAUGCAAACUGCGAAUACCGGAGAAUGUUAUCACGGGAGACACACGGCGGGUGCUAACGUCCGUCGUGAAGAGGGAAACAACCCAGACCGCCAGCUAAGGUCCCAAAGUCAUGGUUAAGUGGGAAACGAUGUGGGAAGGCCCAGACAGCCAGGAUGUUGGCUUAGAAGCAGCCAUCAUUUAAAGAAAGCGUAAUAGCUCACUGGUCGAGUCGGCCUGCGCGGAAGAUGUAACGGGGCUAAACCAUGCACCGAAGCUGCGGCAGCGACGCUUAUGCGUUGUUGGGUAGGGGAGCGUUCUGUAAGCCUGUGAAGGUGUGCUGUGAGGCAUGCUGGAGGUAUCAGAAGUGCGAAUGCUGACAUAAGUAACGAUAAAGCGGGUGAAAAGCCCGCUCGCCGGAAGACCAAGGGUUCCUGUCCAACGUUAAUCGGGGCAGGGUGAGUCGACCCCUAAGGCGAGGCCGAAAGGCGUAGUCGAUGGGAAACAGGUUAAUAUUCCUGUACUUGGUGUUACUGCGAAGGGGGGACGGAGAAGGCUAUGUUGGCCGGGCGACGGUUGUCCCGGUUUAAGCGUGUAGGCUGGUUUUCCAGGCAAAUCCGGAAAAUCAAGGCUGAGGCGUGAUGACGAGGCACUACGGUGCUGAAGCAACAAAUGCCCUGCUUCCAGGAAAAGCCUCUAAGCAUCAGGUAACAUCAAAUCGUACCCCAAACCGACACAGGUGGUCAGGUAGAGAAUACCAAGGCGCUUGAGAGAACUCGGGUGAAGGAACUAGGCAAAAUGGUGCCGUAACUUCGGGAGAAGGCACGCUGAUAUGUAGGUGAAGUCCCUCGCGGAUGGAGCUGAAAUCAGUCGAAGAUACCAGCUGGCUGCAACUGUUUAUUAAAAACACAGCACUGUGCAAACACGAAAGUGGACGUAUACGGUGUGACGCCUGCCCGGUGCCGGAAGGUUAAUUGAUGGGGUCAGCGCAAGCGAAGCUCUUGAUCGAAGCCCCGGUAAACGGCGGCCGUAACUAUAACGGUCCUAAGGUAGCGAAAUUCCUUGUCGGGUAAGUUCCGACCUGCACGAAUGGCGUAAUGAUGGCCAGGCUGUCUCCACCCGAGACUCAGUGAAAUUGAACUCGCUGUGAAGAUGCAGUGUACCCGCGGCAAGACGGAAAGACCCCGUGAACCUUUACUAUAGCUUGACACUGAACAUUGAGCCUUGAUGUGUAGGAUAGGUGGGAGGCUUAGAAGUGUGGACGCCAGUCUGCAUGGAGCCGACCUUGAAAUACCACCCUUUAAUGUUUGAUGUUCUAACG